rnacentral:rRNA from 1 species
CGUGUAGGCGGGAAGGAAAGUCAGAUGUGAAAUCCCCAGGCUCAACCUGGGAACUGCAUUUGAAACUCCCUUUCUUGAGUGCCGGAGAGGAAAGCGGAAUUCCUGGUGUAGAGGUGAAAUUCGUAGAUAUCAGGAGGAACACCAGCGACGAAGGCGGCUUUCUGGACGGUAACUGACGCUGAGACGCGAAAGCGUGGGGAAGCAAACA